GUCGAGAAUAAUUCACAAUGGGGGAAACCCUGAUGGUGCAACGCCGCGUGGAGGAUGAAGGUCUUCGGAUUGUAAACUCCUGUCAUCUGGGAGUAAGACCUGACGGUGAAUAGCCGGCAGGGUUGAUAGUACCAGAAGAGGAAGGGACGGCUAACUUCGUGCCAGCAGCCGCGGUAAUACGAAGGUCCCAAGCGUUGUUCGGAAUCACUGGGCGUAAAGGGAGCGUAGGCGGCGUGGUAAGUCAGCUGUGAAAUCCCGGGGCUCAACCCCGGAACUGCAUCCGAUACUGCCAUGCUUGAGGGUUGGAGAGGUAGCUGGAAUUCUCGGUGUAGCAGUGAAAUGCGUGGAUAUCGAGAGGAACACUCGUGGCGAAGGCGAGUUACUGGACAGCAUCUGACGCUGAGGCACGAAGGCCAGGGGAGCGAAAGGGAUUAGAAACCCCAGUAGUCC
rnacentral:rRNA from 1 species